rnacentral:rRNA from 1 species
AGAGUUUGAUCCUGGCUCAGAACGAACGCUGGCGGCGCGCUUAACACAUGCAAGUCGAGCGGGUACCGCAAGGUAUCAGCGGCGUACGGGUGCGUAACACGUGGGUAAUCUGCCUCGAAGAUCGGGAUAACUCGCCGAAAGGCGAGCUAAUACUGGAUAAGCUCACGGACCCCUCGGGGUUUGGGAGAAAAGGUCGUAAGACGCUUCGAGAUGAGCCCGCGGCCCAUCAGCUCGUUGGCGGGGUAACGGCCCACCAAGGCAACGACGGGUAGCUGGUCUGAGAGGACGACCAGCCACACUGGAACUGAGACACGGUCCAGACUCCUACGGGAGGCAGCAGUGGGGAAUCUUGCGCAAUGGGCGAAAGCCUGACGCAGCGACGCCGCGUGUGGGAUGAAGGUUUUCGGAUCGUAAACCACUGUCGCCCGGGACAAAUCAAUGAUGGUACCGGGAGAGGAAGCACCGGUUAACUCUGUGCUAGCAGCCGCGGUAAUACAGAGGGUGCGAGCGUUGUUCGGAAUUAUUGGGCGUAAAGCGCAUGUAGGCGGCUUGUUAAGUCGCGUGUGAAAUCUCCAGGCUUAACCUGGAAAGUGCGCGCGAAACUGGCGAGCUUGAGUGUCGGAGAGGGUGGCGGAAUUCCCGGUGUAGAGGUGAAAUUCGUAGAUAUCGGGAGGAACACCAGAGGUGAAGGCGGCCACCUGGACGACCACUGACGCUGAGACGCGAAAGCGUGGGGAGUAAACAGGAUUAGAUAUCCUGGUAGUCCACGCUGUAAACGAUGGGUGCUAGCUGUGGUGGGUUUUGACCCCCGCCGUGGCGACGCUAACGCAAUAAGCACCCCGCCUGGGAAGUACGGCCGCAAGGCUAAAACUCAAAGGAAUUGACGG